rnacentral:rRNA from 1 species
CCUACGGGUGGCUGCAGUGGGGAAUAUUGGACAAUGGGCGAAAGCCUGAUCCAGCCAUGCCGCGUGUGUGAAGAAGGCCUUCGGGUUGUAAAGCACUUUCAGUGGGGAAGAAAGCCUUGGGGCUAAUACCCUCGAGGAAGGACAUCACCCACAGAAGAAGCACCGGCUAACUCCGUGCCAGCAGCCGCGGUAAUACGGAGGGUGCGAGCGUUAAUCGGAAUUACUGGGCGUAAAGCGCGCGUAGGCGGUCUGAUAAGCCGGUUGUGAAAGCCCCGGGCUCAACCUGGGAACGGCAUCCGGAACUGUCAGGCUAGAGUGCAGGAGAGGAAGGUAGAAUUCCCGGUGUAGCGGUGAAAUGCGUAGAGAUCGGGAGGAAUACCAGUGGCGAAGGCGGCCUUCUGGACUGACACUGACGCUGAGGUGCGAAAGCGUGGGUAGCAAACAGGAUUAGAUACCCCAGUGC